rnacentral:rRNA from 1 species
AUAUGCUUGUCCUACAGUUUAAGCCAUGCAUGUCUAAGUACAGCCUUAAUUAUCAAUGUGAAACCGCAAAUAGCUCAUUAAAUCAGUUUUGGUUCAGUAGAUAUUAAACGAUUACUUGGAUAACCGUGGUAAUUCCAGAGCUAAUACAUGCAACUAAGUUCCGACCUAUAGGACUAGAGGAGUGUGUGCAAGGUUGGCUGAAAAGCCUGCUGUUGCUGCUUCGUCUUAAGGGAAGAACGCUCUUAUUAGAUCAAACCCCAUGAUGGGGUUGUGAUGACUCCGGAUAAUAUUUGCCAUAGCCUCGGUUCCAGUGCCACGUCUAAUAAGUGUCUGAUUUAUCAGCUUCAUUGUAGGAUAUCUGCCUACCAUUGCUGUUACGAGUAACGGGGAAUCAGGGUUCGAUUCCGGAGAGGGAGCCUGAGAAACGGCUACCACAUUUAAGGAAGGCAGCAGGCACGAAACUUACCCACUCCUAGAGCUGGGAGGUAGUGACAAAAUAUACCGAUGCGUGUCUCAUUUGGGGCACGUAAUCGGAAAGAAUACACUCUAAACUCUUGUAAGAGGAUCAAUUGGAGGGCAAGUCUGGUGCCAGCAGCCGCGGUAAUUCCAGCUCCAAUAGCAUAUAUUAAUAUUGUUGUGGUUAAAAAGCUCUUAAUUGGAUUGUCUGAUAUAGACUGAUGGUGCGCCUCUGGCGAUUACUGUUGGUUAAUCAGAUAGUCAGCCUGCAUGCGAUGCUCUUUAUUGAGUGUCGUGCGUGGCUGGCAUGAUUACUUUGAAAAAAUUAGAGUGCUUAAAGCAGGUUAAUGCCUGAAUAUGAUCAUGGAAUAAUGAAAUAGGAUCUCGGUUCUAUCUCAUUGGUUUACUGAACUUGAGUUAAUGAUUAACAGAGACGAACGGGGGCAUUCGUAUUGCAGCGCGAGAGGUGAAAUUCGGUGACCGUUGCAAGACGCC